UGCACCAUGUAUAUGUAAUCUUCUGCUCACUCAAAAUUAGGUUCAGAUCUGGACUUUUCACCUUGCUUUUUUUUUAAUCCAAAGGGUUUAUUGCAGCUUUUUCACAACAGGAUUUAAGUCUUAUUUGGAGAAAUUGUUCAGAUCAGACCAUUGUGAAAAAUAUUACAAAAUGUUUAGAAAAUAAAUUUAAACAAAACUCAUUAUCAAGUGAAAGACUACAAUUUUGAGCAUCGCGAUCUGUGUCAUAUAUCUGCAAACAUUUUCCAAGUUGUCAGCAUAAAUAAAAUGAAAUAAAAACUUAACAUUUCUAUUAAUGAUUAAUUUUAUAUAUUUUAAUCUGGUUGCAAUGAUCUUUUUAAUCUUUUUAUUGCUCUAUUGCAGCGAUGUCAAACUCUAGUCCUCAAGGGCAGGUGUGCUGCAGCGUAUAGAUGAGCCUCUGCUACACCACAACUGAAUAAAAUAAUUAGGUCAUUAAGGCUCUGGAGAACCGAUCUACACAAGGAGGAGGUAAUUAAGCCAUUUCAUUCCAGGGUUUUGUACAUGUGGCUCAUCUACACGCUGCAGGACAUCUGAGGACUGGAGUUUGACACUUGUGCUCUUGGCACCUUUGCCAAUAAAGAUUGGUGAAUUGAAGUAGGCAUUUUACACAUCCGCGAAAGAAAAUAGUUUCAAACAACAUUUGAAUAAGGAGGACGACAAUAUUUAUUUAUUUUUGUUUGAGCACGUUUUUGAGUGUUACAUCGGUUUUACAUUUGUUAAACCGAUGUAACACUCUCAAAAUUAAUCUUGAAUUUCUUGGAAAACGUAAAAUUAACUGCGGAUGGAUAUGCCGUUUCACACUCCAACGUAUUCUCCUCAUCAGUCCGUUCGCGCGGAGUCUGCAGGUUGGCUGUCCUACGAAACAAUCUACUUGAAGAGCACGAAACUGUGAAGAUCACCCAUCAACGAUUUGAAAAAGCAGUAAAGCAACAACUACAGCCAGAUGCUUCAUGGAAGAUAUGCUGUGUGCGUGUUCUUGGAAAUGCAGACAGCUAUGGAGAAGCACGACGAAAGCUUGCAAAGGCAGAAGCAACAUCAGAUCUUCAAACAGAUAGUGAUAUCCCAGAAAAGCGACGUAGAAGAUCCUCCCACAAAUGGGGCACAUUUUCUUCAAGUGAAGACAGUGUGGACUCCUCAGAGAAUGAAGUUCCACCUUCUCCUCCCUUGGAACCUACCACAUUUGGAUCUGCCUCAAAAGUGUG